UACGUAGGGGGCAAGCGUUGUCCGGAACCAUUGGGCGUAAAGAGCGUGUAGGCGGCCCGAUAAGUCCGCCGUGAAAGUCCAGGGCUCAACCCUGGAAUGCCGGUGGAAACUGUCGGGCUGGAGUCCGGAAGAGGCGAGUGGAAUUCCUGGUGUAGCGGUGAAAUGCGCAGAUAUCAGGAGGAACACCAAUGGCGAAGGCAGCUCGCUGGGACGGUACUGACGCUGAGACGCGAAAGCGUGGGGAGCAAACAGG
rnacentral:rRNA from 1 species